rnacentral:snRNA from 1 species
AACACGGACCAAGGAGUCUGA